rnacentral:rRNA from 1 species
ACGGCAGCGCGGGGUAACCUGGCGGCGAGUGGCGAACGGGUGAGUAAUACAUCGGAACGUGCCCUGUGAUGGGGGAUAACUACGCGAAAGCGUAGCUAAUACCGCAUACGACCUACGGGUGAAAGUGGGGGAUCGCAAGACCUCACGUCAUAGGAGCGGCCGAUGGCGGAUUAGCUAGUUGGUGAGGUAAAGGCUUACCAAGGCAACGAUCCGUAGCUGGUCUGAGAGGACGACCAGCCACACUGGGACUGAGACACGGCCCAGACUCCUACGGGAGGCAGCAGUGGGGAAUCUUGGACAAUGGGGGCAACCCUGAUCCAGCAAUGCCGCGUGUGGGAUGAAGGCCUUCGGGUUGUAAACCACUUUUGGCGGGGGCGAAAUAUCGAGUGCUAAUACCAUUCGGUGAUGACGGUACCCGCAGAAUAAGCACCGGCUAACUACGUGCCAGCAGCCGGGGGUAAU